AGUGAACGCUGGCGGUAGGCCUAACACAUGCAAGUCGAACGGCAGCACAGUAAGAGCUUGCUCUUACGGGUGGCGAGUGGCGGACGGGUGAGGAAUAGAUCGGAAUCUACUUUUUCGUGGGGGAUAUCGUAGGGAAACUUACGCUAAUACCGCAUACGACCUACGGGUGAAAGCAGGGGAUCUUCGGACCUUGCGCGAUUGAAUGAGCCGAUGUCGGAUUAGCUAGUUGGCGGGGUAAAGGCCCACCAAGGCGACGAUCCGUAGCUGGUCUGAGAGGAUGAUCAGCCACACUGGAACUGAGACACGGUCCAGACUCCUACGGGAGGCAGCAGUGGGGAAUAUUGGACAAUGGGCGCAAGCCUGAUCCAGCCAUACCGCGUGGGUGAAGAAGGCCUUCGGGUUGUAAAGCCCUUUUGUUGGGAAAGAAAAGCAGCAGGUUAAUACCCCGCUGUUCUGACGGUACCCAAAGAAUAAGCACCGGCUAACUUCGUG
rnacentral:rRNA from 1 species